rnacentral:lncRNA from 1 species
GGCGGGGCGCUGCGGGGAAGGGGGGACGGGAGCCCGGGGGCGGAGGGGGGGGGGUCCCGGGUUCAGAACCCCCCUGCGCGCGGCCGCCCUGACGCGCUGUCUUUCUCUCCCCUCGCCUCCCGAUCCAGGAUUCAGAAGGAGCUGGCGGACAUCACUCUAGACCCUCCGCCCAACUGCAGCGCUGGCCCCAAAGGCGACAACAUCUACGAGUGGAGGUCCACCAUCCUCGGGCCCCCAGGCUCCGUGUACGAGGGCGGCGUGUUCUUCCUCGAUAUCACCUUCACACCGGAGUACCCCUUCAAGCCUCCGAAGGUUACAUUUCGGACAAGAAUCUAUCACUGUAAUAUUAACAGUCAAGGAGUUAUUUGCUUGGACAUUUUGAAAGAUAAUUGGAGCCCAGCACUAACCAUUUCUAAAGUCCUUCUUUCUAUCUGCUCACUUCUCACAGACUGUAAUCCUGCCGACCCCUUGGUGGGAAGUAUCGCCACUCAGUAUAUGACCAACAGGGCAGAGCACGACAGGAUGGCCAGACAGUGGACCAAGAGAUACGCCACGUAAACUGGGCUCCACAGUCCUUCACAGCAUUGUCUGUCACAGAGAGAGCUGCUUAUGAUUUUGAAGGGGUGGGGGA